GUCCUUAGUUACCAGCACGUUAUGGUGGGCACUCUAAGGAGACUGCCGGUGACAAACCGGAGGAAGGUGGGGAUGACGUCAAGUCAUCAUGGCCCUUACGGCCUGGGCUACACACGUGCUACAAUGGUCGGUACAAAGGGUUGCCAAGCCGCGAGGUGGAGCUAAUCCCAUAAAACCGAUCGUAGUCCGGAUCGCAGUCUGCAACUCGACUGCGUGAAGUCGGAAUCGCUAGUAAUCGUGGAUCAGCCAAGCCGCGGUGAAUACGUUCCCGGGCCUU
rnacentral:rRNA from 1 species